rnacentral:rRNA from 1 species
UGGGGAAUAUUGCACAAUGGGCGCAAGCCUGAUGCAGCCAUGCCGCGUGUAUGAAGAAGGCCUUCGGGUUGUAAAGUACUUUCAGUCGGGAGGAAGGUGGUAAGGUUAAUAACCUUAUCAAUUGACGUUACCGACAGAAGAAGCGCCGGCUAACUCCGUGCCAGCAGCCGCGGUAAUACGGAGGGUGCAAGCGUUAAUCGGAAUUACUGGGCGUAAAGCGCACGCAGGCGGUUGAUUGAGUCAGAUGUGAAAUCCCCGGGCUUAACCCGGGAAUUGCAUCUGAUACUGGUCAGCUAGAGUCUUGUAGAGGGGGGUAGAAUUCCAUGUGUAGCGGUGAAAUGCGUAGAGAUGUGGAGGAACACCGAUGGCGAAGGCAGGUCACUGGGCCAUUACUGACGCUGAGGAGCGAAAGCAUGGGUAGCGAACAGG